CAUCUUGUUCCCGCUGGUGUCACAGGAAACAAAGGCUGGAUGGUGAAGUCCUGAGUCUCUAUCUGUGAAGCACUGUAGCUUUCUUCCUACUGACAUCACCUGUCAGAACUGAACUGGAUCUGCAUUUAUGUUGGCACUCUUCUUUUCUUAUGUUGUUUGGCUUGUGAGAAAGCUGUUGCAUAAGGAUUUCUAUACUCUGUCACAUUGGCUCCACCAUUCGAGA